rnacentral:rRNA from 1 species
CUGAAUCAGUGUGUGUGUUAGUGGAAGCGUCUGGAAAGGCGCGCGAUACAGGGUGACAGCCCCGUACACAAAAAUGCACAUAUUGUGAGCUCGAUGAGUAGGGCGGGACACGUGGUAUCCUGUCUGAAUAUGGGGGGACCAUCCUCCAAGGCUAAAUACUCCUGACUGACCGAUAGUGAACCAGUACCGUGAGGGAAAGGCGA